GACGAACGCUGGCGGCGUGCUUAACACAUGCAAGUCGAACGGAAAGGCCCUGCUUUUGUGGGGUGCUCGAGUGUCGAACGGGUGAGUAACACGUGAGUAACCUGCCCUUGACUUUGGGAUAACUUCAGGAAACUGGGGCUAAUACCGGAUAGGAGCUCCUGCUGCAUGGUGGGGGUUGGAAAGUUUCGGCGGUUGGGGAUGGACUCGCGGCUUAUCAGCUUUUUGGUGGGGUAGUGGCUUACCAAGGCUUUGACGGGUAGCCGGCCUGAGAGGGGGACCGGGCACAUUGGUACUGAGAUACGGCCCAGACUCCUACGGGAGGCAGCAGGGGGGAAUAUUGCACAAUGGGCGGAAGCCUGAGGCAGCGACGCCGCGUGCGGGAUGACGGCCUUCGGGUUGUAAACCGCUUUCGCCUGUGACGAAGCGUGAGUGACGGUAAUGGGUAAAGAAGCACCGGCUAACUACGUG
rnacentral:rRNA from 1 species